CUGAUGUGAACCUAGAAGGUGUAGCCAUGUGAGAGGACCACGUCAUUAUUAUGAAAGGGGCUCUUAAAAUUGCCACCCAAGUAGAUGCUGUUGGGGAUGGGGUGAGGGAAGGAAAGUGAAAGGGGAGGGAAGGGAAGGGAGAGGAGAAGGCCACACACAAUCUUAAAUUCAAUAUUUCACUCCCAUUAAAGAUAAGCUGUUUAUAAGCUUCAGUGUAGGGCAUAUAAUUCUAUGUAAAAACUCUGUGGUUCCUCUUCCCAAACAUAAAUCAUAAAUCAUGAUCAUUCUACACUCUGCUCUCUGGGAGUCCUCGAGGCAAAGAGACAACAGGACACGAGGUAUGGUAAUAAAAAAGUCUGGGUAUUAUAAAAUCCACCCUGAGCUCCAAGAAGAAAAGGCUAACAAGAAGAGAGGUCUGAAAAGUACUAAUUUACCCAGGUACAAUGCAGUUUUGUACAUUUUUAUUCACAUCCUCAGGAAUCAAAUGUCCACCUUGAUACCUGAGAGAAUUUUUUAAAAUAAAUUCUAGCUAUAAGUGUUUUAAAGAUAAACUAUGAAUUCUUUUUGGAACUAAGUGCCUUGAUAAAAUAAUGAAUAUUAAAUACAUCUUAGAGUCACAGAAAGGACUUAGCGCCAGAGUCUCUCUGUGGUAGCUGAGGAGUGCCCCCUACAGUCUGACGUGCGCAACGCAAGCAGAUGACGAGGAAAGAACUGAGCAGCAGUUUCAGGAUUCUCAAUAAGGCAUCGAAGAAAGAAAGGUUUAAUCACGUUUUUUCACCCAAAAGAGACUCUAGAAGUGAAGAUGGCUCAUAUCACAAUGUAACCACUAGAUGGCAGCACAAACCCAUCUCAGAAUUAUUCCCAAAGCAGCCAGAGACCUCAGACCAGCUGUUACAAGGCGCCCCCACAGUUGAGCACAAUAAGCCAAGGAUCCACCAUUGGGAGUCACUUUCCUAUGUCACCUGGACCUUUCAAAACUUCCAUGGAUAUAUCCUUGGUUUGCAAUUCUUCUCUCAACAAUAUUCUCUGUAUGUAUUGCUUUCUCUUGGCCUUAUUUAUAUAUUCAUUUAAAAACAUUAACAUCUAUUGAGAGCUGACAUGUUCCACAAACUAUUGUAGUGGGAAACAAUAUUGAGAAAGAUGGCAAUGAUCCUGCCCUCAUGGAAGCUGAGUUCUAGUGAGAGAGACAGAUAACAUUCAGGUGAACAUCCAUUCAUUCAACUCACGUCGUCUACUGAGCACUUUGAUGAACUACUGAACAAUGUGCCAGACACUGUUCUAGCCUCUGAGGAUACAGCCCUGAAUGAAACACGCGCACGCGCACACACACACACACACACACACACACACACACACUGCCCUAGGGAGCUUAUAUACUGGAAAGGGACAUCGGUGAUAAAGUGUAAAAGCCACGUGUAUAAGUGUGUGAUUUACACUGAAUUCCCUAGAAGACAGAACCUGAGGC
rnacentral:lncRNA from 1 species